rnacentral:lncRNA from 1 species
CGUUUGUCAAUUUUCCCAAAUUCCAUCCCACAUCACAAAAGGAGUUACAGAAGAAUGUCAACCCCUCAGUAGAGUAAUUUGAUUCUGAAUCAUGGGAAAAAAUGCAAAAUAAGUGAAUGACUUAAUAGAAAUAAAUGAUAAUCAUGGCAGUCAUAUGAUAUUAUAUAAAUAUUGCUUAUUUAAUAUCAAUUCUUUUUGUUCUUUCUUCUUCACUUUUUUUUGGUCAUUAUUCUCUAUACAAUGUAUAUCCCCAUUAUUGAUUCCAGACUCAUAAUCAAUGCUCAUAUAUCCAUCCGUAAACCAAACUAGAAAACUACGUAAACGGAUUUGCACGUUGAACACGAAAACCCGGAAACUUUUCACCGUUGCCAUUUUUUAUACUAUGACGCAAAAACCAUGGACGCUCGUGCGUCUGCUGAUUUGAUUUUUUUUACCGUAUUUUAAAAAGAUUAGACAGAGACAGCCAGAAAGAUAAUACAAGACACUGUAUUUAUUCAAACUGAGAGGUCAAAAAUUUAGUAUGAAUGUAUUAUUAAUUGUUGAUUAACUGGAAAAAACCGGCGAACAAAAAAUUGAAAUGAACAUGAUGAAAGUCAAACCAACCGGAACAUUGACGGAUUUAUGUACCCACUAUUUUGUACUUGGAAAGCGCAACGAAAGGUAAAUAUUAUCUUACACAUGUUUUAAAUGGAUAAAAGCAGAUGCUAGUGCUAUAGUUUACAGUCUUUUGACUUUAUACCGGCGUACAACAUGUCAAAUGUUAUCAUGGUUAUGACUUAUGCAUGCACAGGGGUUUCUGUUUGUUACAAUUUGCCGGGUUCACUAUCAAUUACGAACCCCGAAAAAUUGGGGUUGCAUAGUAAACACGGCAAAGUGUAACAAACCCCUGUGAUGCAUGUAAACCCUUUAAUCAGUCCAAGAACGGAAGCAAGACAACUCGACCUGCCGACAAAUCUCCCCACUUUUUCACCAACUCGCCCCACUUUUAACAGUUUAAAAAAAUCCCCCCACUAAAUGAAAAGUGUUUAAUCCUGUCAAAUAUACUCCUGCCAAAUCCCCACUUGUGAAAAUGAGUAAAAUCCAGAUUAAUAUUAAAAAAAAGUCAAAAGAACACUGUUCAUGCUGUUAAACCCUGUUAAAUGGGUAACAAUGUUGGGUCAAGUAGGAUAAACGGUACUAUAGUUCCUUCGGAAGAACAGAGUAAUAAAUCGGUUUAACCUUAUUAGUAAAUCGGUUUAUAUGAACAUAAAUUGACAGACUGACAGGUCGACAGGUUGACACUAUAAAGGUCGACAAGUUUAAAAGUUGACAGGUUGACAAGUGUUAAGUUGACAGGUUGACAAAUGUUAAGGUCGACAAGUUGACAGGUUGACAAAUGUUAAGGUAGACAGGUAGACAGGUCGAAGGGUUUAAUUUUACAAUUAAACAAGUAAAUAAAAGUACAUCAUCCAUUAAGUAAAAUAAAAUUAACUUCAGUUUUUAACCUUUUUUACAAGUAUUGACUUAUAACUUUUAUAUCUGUUCGCUGUCAAUCUGUUUACCAUUUGCACAUUUAACAUUUCUCAAAAUGAAAUUGUCAACCUGUCGACUUGUCGAUCUGUCUACCUGUCAACUUGUCAACCAUAAUUUACUUGUUAUUAUAUUAAAUUAUCAACUUAUCAACCUGUCAACCUGUCGACUUGUCAACCUGUCAACCACUUAUUUCAACCAUAACAUUUUUAAAAUUGUCAACCUGUCGACUUGUCAACCUGUCAACCACUUAUCCCAACUAUAACGUUUUUAAAAUUGUCAACCUGUCGACUGUCAACCUGUAAAUCACUCAUUUAUUUCAGUUUAAUGUAAAAUUUAAACAGUUGUAACUUUAUUACCCAUGAAUACAUACGCGUAUGAAUUUUUUGCAAAAGCCGGAUCUAUAGUACCGUAUAUCCUACUUGAGCCACAAUGUUAUAAAGGUCAGCCAAAAUAUGAAGACUGAAGUAUAGAAAAUACAGAAAAAAAUAUAUUAUUGUGAAAGAGCACAAAAUAAAGAAAUUCAUUGGCGCCAUAUUUUUUUAAAUCUGAGUUGACUGGUUCAAAAGAUUUAAAAAAAUUGUCCAAGACAAAAAUACUAUAUUUUGGGGCUAAUUUUUAGGCCAAAAUGAAAUAUAACAAAAGGUAAUGACAAAAAUGUAGGAACAGCAAGCAAUUAAUAUAAAUCUUUGUAAAAAAACCACAUUGGGAUUCUUUUUUGCUAUUUGUCAACCUUGGGCAUCUUUGAAUAAAUGCUUACAUGUAUGUUUAAACAUUCAUACCUUAAUAUGGAAAUUUAAAGCAGGCAGAGGUUUAAAUAUAUUAACAUGAUUAACAAAUGUAAUGCCAAAAUAUCUCAUUUUUUUUAUAGCAACUCAAAAUCAUGCUGUCAGGCUAUAUGUGUUGUACAUGGGAAGUGGACCCCUGGAGGAGAUGAAAGGUCUAUUUAAUAGUAUGUAAUGUAAAUAUAUAAAUAAGAAAAGGUGG